rnacentral:rRNA from 1 species
UAGCUAUGUGCGGACGGGAUAAGUGCUGAAAGCAUCUAAGCAUGAAGCCCCCCUCAAGAUGAGAUUUCCCAUUCCGCAAGGAAGUAAGAUCCCUGAAAGAUGAUCAGGUUGAUAGGUCUGAGGUGGAAGUGUGGCGACACAUGGAGCUGACAGAUACUAAUCGAUCGAGGACUUAACCUAAA